GUAAUAAUAGCCUGUUACGGUUUCGCGCUGUUACGUCGGCCAUUGACGCAUUCCAUAUUCACCUAUUCAUCUUUCUAUUAAUGUCGUAUUGCUGAAGCUGCUCAUACAACAAUGUCCACCACCACCACCUCAUCCUUUACAACAACAAUGUAAAAUACAUCAUCCUCGGCAAGUUAGUUUUGGCUUUUACAAACUUCAAUGGCUUGUAGUAUCCUCCAAAGUGGCUCUUCUCCUAAGGUGACAUGGAAAUAUGACGUGUUUGUGAGCUUUUAUAGGCGAAGACACACGCAACAAUUUCGCGGAUCAUCUUUUUGCUGCUCUUAGUAAAAAGAACAUUGUUGUCUUCUGAGAUGAUACACAAAUCAAGAAAGGGGAACAUAUAUCACCUGAGCUUCUAGAGCUCAUUGCGAUACAACGGUGGCAAUGAUGCUUGUGGGAAACAAAUGCGAUUAGGAUAAUAUAAGGGAUGGAAGCAUUGAAGAAGGUAAAAGCCUUGCAGAAUCAGAAGGUUUGUUUUUCAUGGAAACCUCUGCUUUGGACUCUACAAAUGUGAAAACAGCUUUUGAGAUGGUUAUUAGAGAAAUAUACAACAAUGUUAGCAGGAAGGUCCUCAACCCAGACUCCUACAAAGCCGAAUUAUCCGUCGACAGGGUUAGUCUUGUUAGCG